AUGUAUAAAAAUGAUUAUAAUAUAAAUACGUAAAUAAUUAUCCCCAUCGAGAUCGAAAGAUUUCUUCUUCUUCAAGAAUUAAUUCCGCGUUUUUUUCUCGUCUAUCGAGUAUAGCGUUCGUCGUGAACAUACACAAAUAAGCAAGGAUCAGAAGUUAGCAAGACGAAGAUCGAAGAUCGAUGAAGGGAUCGAGGAGAUCGAUAUUGUGCCUUCUUGCUUGCUUGGUUACUUGCUCACUUAUUCGCCGUGUUCGGGCGAGGCUCUAAAGUCUACGACGAGGAGACUUAAAUCAAUCACGAUAAUCAUGGUUUCGUUAGUUCGACGACGAUUUUCACCAAGAAUUACAACUUCCAACGAUUCCUGUAGUGUUGUUUUUCCGCGAAAGUUAUCAAUGGCCGCACGAACGCGAGAAAAGAUGUGUGUAUUCAAGCACGUAAGUGACUACGUGUACGUAUGUAUGUGUACGUCGUAAGGAUCUUUAAACGGCACCGGUGCUCCCCAGAAAACAAGUGGUCUAGCCAGUUGAACAAAUUACCUACACUUAUUCCAGUGAUUUCGCGAAGUUAACAUAUGUAAUCUUAACUCGAAUGAAACUUCAAUCUCCGAGCAAAUGGAAAAGCACAUGUCCCGUAAUAACAUAAAGGUCACUAACCGGAAUGGGAAAUACGAGGAGAGUAGAGAUAGUUCAGAAUCUCAAGUUGUUCUUUAUUUUCAUCGUUUUUAAACUAUCGUUCUUAUUCCCUUUUUUUUAGGAAGAAGGGAUGGGUAUAUAAGUAUUAUCUGAUAGUUCAUACUAUACGCUAUGGUUUGUCGUUGUUCAAACGCAGAACUCAGCUCGAAGAUAUCGACGUCUCUCUGGCAUGCCACUUACCUUGGAGACUGUAUUCUCGUUCUACCCACGUAAAGAAACAAGACGGUCGAUGUUAGACGUCUUCUUCGAACAUAAAUUUCGAGUAUAUAUUGAAAGAAUAUAAUUGUUCUGUUGAAUUUUCAAUGAGCAUCGUAUAAAAAAUUGAUCCUACGUUAUUAAACGAGCUAUCCUUCUGUAUUCGUCAAUAUUAUCUUGAAAAUGUGUCUAAGAGUUUUAACAUAUUUGAAUGAACCUAUCGUUUUUGGAUAGGAGAAAGCGAUUUAACUAGGUCUUUUAACUUUGAAAGAACUCGUUUAGGGCGAUUAAAUAAUCAGAUAAAGUUUAAAUGAUUUUAUCAUUACACACUGUAGUCGCCACGAUGCGCUACGAUAUUUGUUAAAUUUCAUAUGACUGUCUUAGUUAUAAAAAAAAAAAGUUAUCAAUAUAAACAUAUGGAAAUAAUUUUUUCAUUAGAAAACGCGCUACGCGGAUAAUUAACGUAAUUUCAUACGGCUUGCUUAGCUAGAUAUAGAUGUACGAUUUUUAUUGAAAUUUAUUCAACUAUAAGAAAUAUGUCUACAUAGACGCACUAUGAGACGUCGAGAUUUCAAUUUUAUUAAGAAGAACAUGGCGCUGUUCGAAGAAGAGCAAGUAUGGAAUGCUGUGCAUUGCCUUUUUCCGAGUCAAGAGGUGAAGCAAUUUGAAAGUCCUGCUACCAUCAGAGAAUCCACGUCACUCCUGUAAUGUUCUAUGGAAAGAAGUGUUGGAACAUCAUGGAAGUAAAUCCGAAUGUAACUAUAUGAAACUCGACUGGCAAUUACCCCGACAGCAUAGAGGACUUCAACAUUUUAGUCGAAUAACUGUAGGACAAAUUUUUCAAUAUUUUUGUCAUCCUCUUUUACCAAGCAAAUGAUGCUCGGUCUUCGAAAUAUUUAAUUUUAAAUAAA